UUGCUAACUCUUUUAGCUCGGAUGGCGCCAGAUCUAUCUUAUAUCUCUUCUCUUGUAGGUAUCCAAAAAUUUGAGAGAUAUACAAGGUUCUGCUUUAGCUAUCGAUUGAAGCCAUAUUGAGCUUAUCAAGAUAAUUAUGAAUAUGGUGGAUCUGUUUUGUUAAGCAUCACAUCUGAAAGCAACCUAAAGACAGCAAAACCAAAUGGUCAUGGCGACCUCGGAUCUUGGCUUGGAAGUAGAAAUGCAUCCGACACAUAAUGCUUAUUGAAGGUACUUGAAUUUCUUCCCGGGCUUCUGGAUAUAUAGAAAAAUGAGGGCUACACCAUGACAGAAGCAGAGGCAACCCAUCUUUCUUCCUUGCUUGGUUGAGAAGGUGAUGAUUUUUGGAGAUAUGUUGGGAAGCAUACUGAGGAACAAAGAAGUAUGUUGGAUGAUAGAUAUAAGUAAGUUGAGGUUGUCAUCAAUUUUUCAUCCGGUUCUUCCACAAAAAUAGUUCUUAUGCUUUUGUGAAUCAUGCACGAGAGAUGGAGAAGAAGAGGAAGGAGAGCAUGCCUGGAGAAGCUAGAGUUGCCCUAAGACCCUCCGUAUAAGAAUAUGUGUUUGAUCCAGCUGAUCAAAGUGGGAACUUAUCUUGAUCCAUGGGCAUCCCAACUUUCAAUCGGGAGAACUAUUGUCUUCCUGAAACCCACACAAAUAGACUACCAAUGUCGCGGGCUUAUUCUGGUGUUGGGCUCACUGGAAUGAAGCUAUGCAAAUCAUAGAUUAUGGUUCUCUUGAACAGGUAUAUAAUUAAAGACCUAUGCAUGAUGUGUCAAAAUGUGCGUUUUGUGUAUAGUGCAUGUAUUUUUUGUAUAGUGCAUGUAUUUUGUGUAUUGUGUAAUGUGGGAAGUGGAUGUAUUUUGGGUAGUUUGUGCAGUGCUAUGUGCAUGUGCACAGUGUGCAUAUUUUGUUUAUAGUAUGUAUUUAGUUUGUAGUAUGCGUGUACUAUGGGUAUUGUUUUUAUAAUGUUUGUAGUGUGUGUUUUUAUAGUUUA